UACGUAGGGUGCAAGCGUUGUCCGGAAUUAUUGGGCGUAAAGAGCUCGUAGGCGGUCUGUCGCGUCGGCUGUGAAAACCCGGGGCUCAACCCCGGGCCUGCAGUCGAUACGGGCAGACUAGAGUGCGGUAGGGGAGACUGGAAUUCCUGGUGUAGCGGUGAAAUGCGCAGAUAUCAGGAGGAACACCCGUGGCGAAGGCGGCUCUCUGGGACGGUACUGACGCUGAGACGCGAAAGCGUGGGGAGCGAACAGG
rnacentral:rRNA from 1 species